UUGACCUCUGAUCAGGUUAUGGCUACCCGCUGAACUUAU
rnacentral:rRNA from 1 species